rnacentral:rRNA from 1 species
AGCAAACGCUGGCGGCGUGCCUAAUACAUGCAAGUCGAACGGGGAAAGGCUUCGGCCAAGUACUAGUGGCGCACGGGUGAGGAACACGUGGGUAAUCUGCCUUCGAGUGGGGGAUAACUAGUCGAAAGAUUAGCUAAUACCGCAUAAGACCACGAAAACUGCGGUUUUUGAGGUUAAAGGAGCAAUUCGCUCGAAGAUGAGCCCGCGUAAGAUUAGCUAGUUGGUGAGGUAAUGGCUCACCAAGGCUGUGAUCUUUAACUGGUCUGAGAGGAUGAUCAGUCACACUGGAACUGAGACACGGUCCAGACUCCUACGGGAGGCAGCAGUAGGGAAUAUUGCGCAAUGGGCGAAAGCCUGACGCAGCGACGCCGCGUGAGUGAUGAAGGCCUUCGGGUCGUAAAGCUCUGUUGCAGGGGAAUAACAAAAUGAAGGUACCCUGUGAGGAAGGAUCGGCUAACUUCGUGCCAGCCGCCGCGGUAACAC